rnacentral:lncRNA from 1 species
UGUCAGCUGUUCUUUUCUUUCUGAUGCUAUUGUUACCUACACUUAUGCCAACAUGUUUUCCAAUCCUCGAAACAGUUGUUAAAGUGCAAAAAGGUUUCAAUGCGCGUAGCGUUUAAUGCCUUAAAUUGAGUUUGCUGAAUUGCCAGAAGUCACACGGAGCUAAAUCAGGCGGAUACGGUGGUUGCGAAGAAUCAAUCCUGCAUACGACGGUGCAAAGGACGAUUCUCAAAAACCAAUUCCUUUAUUUUAUUGACGUGUUGAUCAUCAGUUAAUGUGGAUGACCGUCCUAGACGAGGUUCAUGGUCAACUCGUUUUCUAUCCUGUUUGGAUAAGUAGGAGUUAAACCUGCUACAGUAUCCAGAACGAAACUGCGCGUCACUUAUGUUUCUUGCAGAAACUCGAACUCUUUGCCUGCGAUGGGUGGUGGCUUGACUCCGAGUACUUCAUACUGGAAGGGAGUCGGUGAAGGUGAUGGAGUGUUAAGUUCCGUGCAGAGAAGAAGCAAAAAAGGUCGUAGAGAUAGCCGUUUAUAUUAGAAUUUUCUCCUCGAAACAGUAAGGAUGAUUAAUGACCGCUCAGGUAGUUCAUGGUCCACCUCUUCAGUCCUGGGGAGAGUAUAGUUUGUUCCAUGUCCUGCAAUAGCGUUGUGCCACUGACUGUGUCAAAGGCUAUUAACACGUCCAACACUACGAUAAUCGUCCUCUCACGGGGUGGUUUCUGGUUAAGGCCACGAACUAUCUGAGCUCUAGUGGUACUGUGCCCUUUUCGGAAUCCAUGUUUGUGGUUUGAUAGUUAUCGAACGAUAAGAUAAGUUGGCGGGUUUCCUACGUUUCAGUUGUGGGACCACACUUCCGACUUUCCGAACUAUGUGCACGUUGCAGCCGUAGAUGCUAAGGUGGCAAUGCGUUAGCAUCAUGGGGCCAUGUACGUUGUGAUCCACUCCCUGUGUAUCUUAAGGACUGAACGGGGUUUAAGAUGGCUCCAAAAUCGUCCGGACUUGGGUUGGACUCAAUACCAGCACGAGUCAGGAGGAUACGGAGCAACUCAAGUUACAGCUCGCAAGGACGGACGGGCAGACAGACAGUCAAGCGGAACCGGUUUUCAGUCGAUCGAAGAGAUAAAACCAAAUUCCCUGAAGGAGCUAAAGCCCAUCUCAAAAAGUACUUAUAAAAAGUGUUUCGAGGACUCGAAAAAUCGUUUGCAUCUGGUGGAGAUUACUUUGAAUUAAAUAUUUAAAGUUUUAUUUACCAUUUCCGUUUUUUUUUUUCACAAUACUUAAAUACAAUGAAACUGAAGGUUCCGAAAUAUUUAAAUUGAUUAAUAUUAGCAAACUCCCAACUGCAAGUGCUAAUCUCAAAUUUAAUACGUGUUUAAUAUUAUUUGAAAAUUUUUAAAUUAAAUAUAGUUAUAUUUAUAUUAACUACCUUAAUGCGAGACAAAAACUUCUUACUUUCAUCCAAAACAUGAAAUUUGAUCGACCAAAAAACAACUACUGCCCAAUCAAGUUUUUUAAGCUUUGCUUUUUAACUCAGUGUUGGUCAGCUGUGCCGCAAUCAGGGGUCCCUAUCAUGGAUUGCGUACUUCGUAUCGAUUACUACGUAGAAAAGCAAAGGUAUUUGGAGAUUCUUUUGUUAGCAGUUAGCAGCAGCAUUCAUUGUUAUAUGACGCGUCCGAUGUAAUAUGCAUGGUAUUGUUCAUGAAAUUUAUUAUUUAUCCGUAUGGCAGUGAAGUUUGAUGCAUACCUUAGUUUGUUUGUUUGUAAUAACAGUAGAAAUAACUGAAUGUCAUCCAUUGACAGUGGACCUCAAAUUAUCUUGAUAUUCCCCCGAAUAAUGUUUUUAAAAUGUAUGUAAUUUUGUUUAACUACUACUAUUUAUUGCAAUUAUUGAAUUAUAAUGCAAUACGCGUGAACAGACGAACUAUUUUUAUAAUAUCUGUAAAACAAAUUUUAAUCCAAAAGAAACGCAAUCAGUCCGUACUUGUCGCCAUGGUCGGAGUUACUCCAAUAUCGGUUUAUGCAAAUUUCAAGAAUACUUGACACCCGACUGCGUCCGAUCCAAGUUCGUCCUUACUCGUUGUGCAACUGAUUUUAUUUUAUAACAUGAUGACGUUUAUGUACCAACUCCUUCAUCUUUUUGCAUAUACAUAUGUGCCGAUUAUAUGCUCUUAGUGCACUUUUCCUGCAGAAUUGUAAAUCUAUCAGUCUUUCGGAGGUGAACGAGAAGUAGUAUGGCUCUCCUUUUGUAGAUUUAUAACAAUAACCGAACAAGUGAAGUUACGCAAAGAACUUAUAGCGCCUACCAAUAGGAAUGACAUAUUUGUGUCAAAUUUUGUCGGAUUGCGGUAUGGGGAUAUCACUGGGCCUUUCGAAAUGUGGUAGGGAAUGCCUUAAACAUUAAUAGCGUGCGGAAUUUUAU